rnacentral:tRNA from 1 species
ACCGCUCUCGAUAGUUUUUUCUGUGUUAUCAUUCGUAAUGAUGGGGUCACAGGUUCGAGUCCUGUAAGCGGCACCA